CACGCAGGCGGUUUGUUAAGUCAGAUGUGAAAUCCCCGGGCUCAACCUGGGAACUGCAUCUGAUACUGGCAAGCUUGAGUCUCGUAGAGGGGGUAGAAUUCCAGGUGUAGCGGUGAAAUGCGUAGAGAUCUGGAGGAAUACCGGUGGCGAAGGCGGCCCCCUCGGACGAAGACUGACGCUCAGGUGCGAAAGCGUGGGAGCAAACA
rnacentral:rRNA from 1 species